rnacentral:rRNA from 1 species
UACGGGGGGGGCAAGCGUUGCUCGGAAUUACUGGGCGUAAAGGGCUCGUAGGCGGCCAACUAAGUCAGACGUGAAAUCCCUCGGCUUAACCGGGGAACUGCGUCUGAUACUGGAUGGCUUGAGUUCGGGAGAGGGAUGCGGAAUUCCAGGUGUAGCGGUGAAAUGCGUAGAUAUCUGGAGGAACACCGGUGGCGAAGGCGGCAUCCUGGACCGAUACUGACGCUGAGGAGCGAAAGCCAGGGGAGCAAACGGG